rnacentral:misc_RNA from 1 species
UACGAAGGAUCCAAGCGUUAUCCGGAAUUAUUGGGCGUAAAGAGCUUGUAGGCGGUUUGUCGCGUCUGCUGUGAAAGCCCGGGGCUUAACCCCGGGUGUGCAGUGGGUACGGGCAGACUAGAGUGCAGUAGGGGAGACUGGAAUUCCUGGUGUAGCGGUGAAAUGCGCAGAUAUCAGGAGGAACACCGAUGGCGAAGGCAGGUCUCUGGGCUGUUACUGACGCUGAGGAGCGAAAGCAUGGGGAGCGAACAGG